rnacentral:rRNA from 1 species
GACGAACCGUGCGAACGUUGUUCGGAAUCACUGGGCUUAAAGGGCGCGUAGGCGGGCAGGCGAGUCCGGGGUGAAAUCUUUCGGCUUAACCGGAAAAGGGCCUCGGAGACCGGCUGCCUCGAGGAAGGUAGGGGCAUGCGGAACUUCCGGUGGAGCGGUGAAAUGCGUUGAUAUCGGAAGGAACGCCGGUGGCGAAAGCGGCGUGCUGGACCUUUACGUGACGCUGAGGCGCGAAAGCCAGGG